UACGAACCGUCCAAACGUUAUUCGGAAUCACUGGGCUUAAAGAGUCCGUAGGCGGCCAGUUAGGUGAGGUGUGAAAUCCCCCGGCUUAACCGAGGAAUUGCGCUUCAAACCAACUGGCUAGAGGAAGAUAGAGGAAAGCGGAACUGAUGGUGGAGCGGUGAAAUGCGUUGAUAUCAUCAGGAACACCGGUGGCGAAAGCGGCUUUCUGGGUCUUUUCUGACGCUGAGGGACGAAAGCUAGGGGAGCGAACGGG
rnacentral:rRNA from 1 species